UGGGGAAUAUUGGACAAUGGGCGGAAGCCUGAUCCAGCAACGCCGCGUGAGGGAUGACGACCUUCGGGUUGUAAACCUCUUUCAGCACAGACGAAGCGCAAGUGACGGUAUGUGCAGAAGAAGGACCGGCCAACUACGUGCCAGCAGCCGCGGUAAUACGUAGGGUCCGAGCGUUGUCCGGAAUUAUUGGGCGUAAAGGGCUCGUAGGCGGUUUGUCGCGUCGGGAGUGAAAAACACCGGGCUUAACUCGGUGCUUGCUUUCGAUACGGGCAGACUAGAGGCAUUCAGGGGAGAACGGAAUUCCUGGUGUAGCGGUGAAAUGCGCAGAUAUCAGGAGGAACACCGGUGGCGAAGGCGGUUCUCUGGGAAUGUCCUGACGCUGAGGAGCGAAAGUGUGGGGAGCGAACAGGAUUAGAUACCCUGGUAGUCCACACCGUAAAACGUUGGGCGCUAGGUGUGGGGAUCCAAUUCCCACGGGGUUCCCGUGCCGCAGCUAACGCAUUAAGCGCCCCGCCUGGGGAGUACGGAAGCAAGGCUAAAACUCAAAUGAAUUGACGGGGUCAUAGCUGUUUCCU
rnacentral:rRNA from 1 species